UUGCACAGGUGCUGCAUGGCUGUCGUCAGCUCGUGUCGUGAGAUGUUCGGUUAAGUCCGCUAACGAGCGCAACCUCGUCGUAUGUUAUAUGUGUCAUACGAGACUGCCGGUAAAAAGCCGGAGGAAGGUGAGGAUGAUGUCAAGUCAGCAUGACCUUUAUAUCCAGGGCUACACACACGCUACAAUGGUCUGUACAAUGGGUAGCCAAGCCGCGAGGCGGAGCCAAUCCUGAAAGCAGGCCUCAGUUCAGAUUGCAGUCUGCAACUCGACUGCAUGAAGCCGGAGUUGCUAGUAACCGCAGGUCAGCAAUACUGCGGUGAAUACGUUCCCGGGUCUU
rnacentral:rRNA from 1 species